GCAUAUCAAUAAGCGGAGGAAAAGAAACUAACAAGGAUUCCCCUAGUAACUGCGAGUGAAGCGGGAAGAGCUCAAAUUUAAAAUCUGGCGGUCUUUGGCUGUCCGAGUUGUAAUUUAGAGAAGCGUCUUCCGCGCCGGACCGUGCACAAGUCUCCUGGAAUGGAGCGUCAUAGAGGGUGAGAAUCCCGUCUUUGGCACGGACCCCCCGGGGCUUCUGUGAUGCGCUCUCGAAGAGUCGAGUUGUUUGGGAAUGCAGCUCAAAAUGGGUGGUGAACUCCAUCUAAAGCUAAAUAUUGGCGAGAGACCGAUAGCGAACAAGUACCGUGAGGGAAAGAUGAAAAGCACUUUGGAAAGAGAGUGAAACAGUACGUGAAAUUGUUGAAAGGGAAACGCUUGGAGUCAGUCGCGUCGGCCGAGACUCAGCCUCGCCUCGGCUUGGCGUACUUCUCGACCGACGGGCCAGCAUCAAUUUCGUCUCUCGGAUAAUGGCAAGGGAAAGGUGGCACCCUUUUGGGUGUGUUAUAGUCUCCUGUCGAAUGCGAGGGGUGGGAUUGAGGAACUCAGCACGCGCCCACUCGGCGUCGGGGCUUCGGCCCACGUUUACGUGCUUAGG
rnacentral:rRNA from 1 species